rnacentral:rRNA from 1 species
ACACAUGCAGUCGAACGGUGAAGCAGACGNUUGCUCUGGUGGAUCAGUGGCGAACGGGUGAGUAACACGUGAGCAACCUGCCCCUGACUCUGGGAUAAGCGCUGGAAACGGCGUCUAAUACUGGAUAUGAGCUGCGACCGCAUGGUCAGCAGUUGGAAAGAUUUUUCGGUCUGGGAUGGGCUCACGGCCUAUCAGCUUGUUGGUGAGGUAAUGGCUCACCAAGGCGUCGACGGGUAGCCGGCCUGAGAGGGUGACCGGCCACACUGGGACUGAGACACGGCCCAGACUCCUACGGGAGGCAGCAGUGGGGAAUAUUGCACAAUGGGCGCAAGCCUGAUGCAGCAACGCCGCGUGAGGGACGACGGCCUUCGGGUUGUAAACCUCUUUUAGCAG